rnacentral:rRNA from 1 species
CCUACGGGUGGCAGCAGUGAGGAAUAUUGGUCAAUGGACGAGAGUCUGAACCAGCCAAGUAGCGUGAAGGAUGACUGCCCUAUGGGGUGUAAACUUCUUUUAUAGGGGAAUAAAAUGUUACACGUGUGGGAUUUUGUAUGUACCAUAUGAAUAAGGAUCGGCUAACUCCGUGCCAGCAGCCGCGGUAAUACGGAGGAGCCGAGCGUUAUCCGGAUUGAUUGGGGUUAAAGGGAGCGUAGGUGGAUUGUUAAGUCAGUUGUGACAGUUUGCGGCUCAACCGUAAAAUUGCAGUUGAAACUGGCAGUCUUGAGUCCAGUAGAGGUGGGCUGAAUUCGUUUUGUAGCGGU